rnacentral:rRNA from 1 species
CACAAGGGGUGAAGCCUGCGGUUCAAUUGGAGUCAACGCCAGAAAUCUUACCCGGAGAGACAGCAGAAUGAAGGUCAAGCUGAAGACUUUACCAGACAAGCUGAGAGGUGGUGCAUGGCCGUCGCCAGCUCGUGCCGUGAGAUGUCCUGUUAAGUCAGGUAACGAGCGAGAUCCCUACCUCUAGUUGCCACCAUUACUCUCAGGAGUAGUGGGGCGAAUUAGCGGGACCGCCGCAGUUAAUGCGGAGGAAGGAAGGGGCCACGGCAGGUCAGUAUGCCCCGAAACUCUGGGGCCACACGCGGGCUGCAAUGGUAACGACAAUUGGUUUCGAAUCCGAAAGGAUGAGGUAAUCCUCAAACGUUACCACAGUUAUGACUGAGGGCUGCAACUCGCCCUCACGAAUAUGGAAUCCCUAGUAACUGCGUGUCAUUAUCGCGCGGUGAAUACGUCCCUGCUCCUUGCACACACCGCCCGUCGUUUCAUUGAAGUGAGCUUUUAGCGAGGUGACGUCUAAUUGGCGUUAUCGAACUUGAGGUUCGUGACAAGGGAAAAGUCGUAACAAGGUGACCGUAGGGGAACCUGCGGUCGGAUCACCUCCUU